rnacentral:rRNA from 1 species
CCUACGGGUGGCAGCAGUCGAGAAUCAUUCACAAUGGAGGAAACCCUGAUGGUGCGACGCCGCGUGGGUGAAUGAAGUUCUUCGAAUUUUAAACCCCUUUCAUGUAGGAGCAAAUUAACAAGAUAGUACCACCGUACGCUGACACUGCUAACUCUGUGCCAGCAGCCGCGCUAAUACAGAGGUCUCAAGCUUUUUUCGGAAUCACUGGGCGUAUAGCGUGCGUAGGCUGUUUCGUAAGUCGCGUGUGAAAGGCGCGGGCUCAACCCGGGGCCGGCAUAUGAUACGGGGAGACUAGAGUGAUGGAGAGGGAAGCGGAAUUCUCGGUGUAGCAGUGAAAUGCGUAGAUAGAGAGAGGAACACUAGUGGCGAAGGCGGGUUUCUGGACAGUAACUGACGCUGAGGCACGAAGGCGAGGGGAGCGAAAGGGAUUAGAUACCCGAGUAGUC